ensembl:lncRNA
AUGAUGGCGAAAAGAAAGCAAAAACUGCCAAAUAUCCUGGAGGAUGGCUUAGGCAGAGAUUUGAUGAACGCUGGGCGGUUUUGCUUCAGCUGUGAGCAGAUAUUUACAAAUCGGAAAUGCUUGGAAGAACACUUUUGUUCUGCUGCAAGUCACAUCUGCUCCUGUGGCACUGAGUUUGCCAAAUACAAAGACAUGCUGGAUCACAGCACUACACAUGAGCCAGGACACCAAGUGCUCGAUCAUGGAACAAUAAGGAAACGCAGAAUUGAGAAGCGCAUAGAAGAGGAGAAUCAGCUGAAAAGACUACAGACCGGUGAGGUCGUCUGGAAGGCGCCUAAAUUGGAAAAUGUGCCGUCAGUUUCUUUGCCAGUGAAACGUAUGCUGAAUGUACCCAUUACGUCAGCUCAUAUGCCACAAGUUUCCAUGGAGUCUGCACAGAUUUCACAAGUGCCUCAGUUUUACAGCUCUGUGUCACAAGCACCUUUGCUCCCAAAUCCCAGUGAGAAAGACAUGCAGAAUAUUUUUGCAGGUGUAGGUGCACCAACUGUAGAUCUUUGGACACUUUACCAGCCUGUCGUGUUGUUGCAGACUGUGCACACCUUUAACAAGACAAAGCCUUACACGUGUGGUAAAUGUGGACAAUGUUUUGAGACACCGACAUCUCUCAUCUCCCACCACAGCGCUCAUGUCAUAGAUAAAAUUUCUGGCUGUAUAGGAUGUGGGCUGCUGCUCUCCAGCAAGAAGGUAGUGCCUCGCUUCCAUGUUUGUAAGGCACCCAACACUGCAACCAAAUUCAGAAUCAUCACUGCGACACCGCUGAAUUUUAAGAUGCCAUUUUUUGUCAAUUCAGGCAGGAGUCCAAGUUUUCAGGGGCCUUCAGCCCCUUCCUUUAAUCAGUUAAAAAGACAGAAUCCCAGUGCAGCCAGUAAAAGCAGUCAGGCACCUCUUAUAAUUUCCACCCUGCAGUUGAAAAAUCAGAAAAUCAGUACCUACGGUAAAAGCAAUCGGUGGCAUAAUGUCCCUCCAUACCUGCAGGGGAGGGGUCCCAGUGCAUAUAAGCCUUUUAGCAUUUCCCCCCUUCAAUCGAUGAGUCAGAGUCCAAAUCCCAGUGCAUCCAGUAACCGCAGUCGAGGGCUUCCUGGCACUCCAUUCAUGCAGAUGAAGACACCCACACAAUCUGCAUCAGGUGUAUCGAGCAAACCAAUGCAGACAUCCUCUACAUCAAAUGGGUUUGCAUGUCGAGUCUGCCACCUUCCUUUUGAAUCUGCUCAGCUGCUACAGAGGCACAAGUGUGCCAAAGCACAGGAGUUUAUGGCACAGCACGUGCGAGGUGGCAAACGUUACAGACUAAAGAGGGUGACACCAGUGACGCACCCAAAUCCAGCUCUGAUGAAUGGUGAGAGAAAACUUGGGGUUGCAGCAUCUGGUAACAUAAAGAAAAACCAAGUCAUGGCUGUCUGUCUGAACAAAGAGCAAGGGGCGGCACCUGUGAAUGGGAAGACGGGAGGGGAUAUGGACGAUGAUUGUUACAUCGUAGAAAGCGGACAAGACAAACCUGCUGAGAUGAUCUAUCAAGUAACCUCCUCUGUCCCUAUUACGACUUGA